AGCGAACGCUGGCGGCAGGCCUAACACAUGCAAGUCGAGCGCCCAGCAAUGGGAGCGGCAGACGGGAGAGUAACACGUGGGAACGUACCCUUCAGUUCGGAACAACCCAGGGAAACUUGGGCUAAUACCGAAUACGUCCGUAAGGAGAAAGAUUUAUCGCUGAAGGAUCGGCCCGCGUCUGAUUAGCUAGUUGGUGGGGUAAUGGCCCACCAAGGCGACGAUCAGUAGCUGGUCNGAGAGGAUGAUCAGCCUCACUGGGACUGAGACACGGCCCAGACUCCUACGGGAGGCAGCAGUGGGGAAUCUUGCACAAUGGGCGAAAGCCUGAUGCAGCAACGCCGCGUGCGGGAAGAAGGCCCUCGGGUUGUAAACCGCUUUCAGAAGGAACGAAACUGACGGUACUUUCAGAAGAAGGUGCGGCCAACUACGUGCCAGCCGCCG
rnacentral:rRNA from 1 species